rnacentral:rRNA from 1 species
AGUACCCAGAGGAAGAGAAAGAAAUUAUCGAUUUCCUGAGUAGCGGCGAGCGAAACGGAAACAGCCCAAACCAAGGGGCUUGCCCCUUGGGGUUGUAGGACACUCUAUACGGAGUUACAAAGAAACGAAGUAGAUGAAGCGACCUGGAAAGGUCCGCGAAACAAGGUAACAGCCCUGUAAUCGAAACUUCGUUUCCUCCAGAGUG